GGAAGAAAACUUAAUUGUUUCAUUAACAAAAUUUUGGUUUAUAUAUGAAUUGGGGUUUGGCUGGUUCACUGGGUCAGCGGUUCCCGAAUUUUUAACGAUUCGAUAGGGGUUUUUAACCGGUUCAAUUUUAGUUGAGUUUUGGCAUUAACCCAACCCGAAUUAUUAUCGGUUUAUGGUUUAGACGGUCGGACCGGGUUUAAAAACACUGGAUAUUAUAUUAGAUUAGAUUAAGUAUUUGAAUUCUUGUUCAGUUUUGAAAUAUUAUUUCCGGAUGCUAAUAAGAUAUUUGGAUUCUGUUAUAUAUAAAUGGAUGGUCUUGGGAGCAUGGUGGAUACUGGAUAGGAUGGGUGGCAAGCAUGGAGCAUGGUGGGUGGUAGCGGCCUACAGUCAUGUGAAAUGCCAUUCGGAGGUCAAUGAAAAUGAGCCGAACCAUUUGUCCUCACAAGACCACCUUAUUACGUAAACGCCCUUCCCCACAUGGGCAGUAGUGCUUACACAAACUAUUGUAACUUCCCGUUUCCAGAAAUCAAGCUCGUCUUGUUUCUGUAGAUGGUAACAAACGGUUUCCUGUCAUAUGAUAUAAACUUUUGUUUCUAAGGGUUUCCUCUGGUCGCUUCAGUUCCAUGUCAUUUUCUUAAACCUGCUAACAAACUAACGGUGUACUGAAUCUAAAUUUGGUGAAUAGAAUGAAACAUGAAAGCGAAUCCAUUAACUAAGUGAAGAGAUAGAUAUAUAAUCCUAACGAAGGUGGGUUUGAUUCCACCACCAAUAUUCCAAACCUUAAAAAGAAAAAGAAAAAAAAAAACAAAACCAAGAAAGAUUAAAGAGGAUAGC